rnacentral:tRNA from 1 species
GGCGCGGUCUGGCUGGCGCUCACGCUGGCCUCGGUAAAGCCGGUGGAGCGCCCGUCGGCGCUGGCCAGGUUCAAAUCCACGGUCAUCGCGCCA